UUGUCUUGUUAAUAAAUAAGCCCCUGAA
rnacentral:piRNA from 1 species